GACAGAGGGUGCUAGCGUUGUUCGGAAUUACUGGGCGUAAAGGGCGCGUAGGCGGUCAUGUAAGUCAGGCGUAAAAUCCCGGAGCUUAACUGAGGAACUGCGUUUGAUACUGCAUGGCUAGAGAAUGGUAGAGGGGAGUGGAAUUCCUAGUGUAGAGGUGAAAUUCGUAGAUAUCAGGAGGAACACCAGUGGCGAAGGCGGCCACCUGGACCGUGACUGACGCUGAGACGCGAAAGCGUGGGGAGCAAACAGG
rnacentral:rRNA from 1 species